GACGAACGCUGGCGGCGUGCCUAAUACAUGCAAGUUGAGCGAUGAAGAUUGGUGCUUGCACCAAUUUGAAGAGCAGCGAACGGGUGAGUAACGCGUGGGGAAUCUGCCUUUGAGCGGGGGACAACAUUUGGAAACGAAUGCUAAUACCGCAUAACAACUUUAAACAUAAGUUUUAAGUUUGAAAGAUGCCAUUGCAUCACUCAAAGAUGAUCCCGCGUUGUAUUAGCUAGUUGGUGAGGUAAAGGCUCACCAAGGCGAUGAUACAUAGCCGACCUGAGAGGGUGAUCGGCCACCUUGGGACUGAGCCACGGCCCAAGCUCCUACGGGAGGCAGCAGUAGGGAAUCUUCGGCAAUGACGAAAGUCUGACCGAGCAACGCCGCGUGAGUGAAGAAGGUUUUCGGAUCGUAAAACUCUGUUGGUAGAGAAGAACGUUGGUGAGAGUGGAAAGCUCAGCAAGUGACGGUAACUACCCAGAAAGGGACGGCUAACUACGUG
rnacentral:rRNA from 1 species